CCUACUCUGCCAAGUGUGGUAACAAGUACCGGUUUACAGCGGAGAAAAAGAAAGACAAGAUUCUCGCUUUGUGAAAUAUUCAUUUGUCAGCGGAAAGAGAAUGGACAAUAAACAAAUAAGUCCAUGAAAAUAUCAGAUUUUUUAUUUUUGAUUACAGAGUCUCCUAGACAAUAAUAAACACUGCGAAGAAGGCAGUGAUGGGAUGGGGGCGUGGGGGAGAAGGCGGGAGAGGGACUUUCGAUUCAGGUGAUAAGUUCUCCCCGAGAUGAUGUUUAGCUAAGACGUGGACGUCAAGAAGGAGCCAAAUGCUCGAGAUCCAGGAACAGAGGGUUCCCAGUGGAAGGGACAGCGAAUGCAAAGCUCUGAGGAAAGAGAGCUCUUGGCUAAGGUGUCUGGAGCAGAGCCAGCUAGGGAGGAAGCAGUGUGGAAGAAAUCUGAGAGGUGGCCAGGGGCCGAAUUGCAUAGCCCAAGGGAAGAAUACGGCCAUAACUUACCCUGUUUGUGAAAGGGUAAGAGUGCAGAUAUUCAGCAGGAAGAGGGAGUGCAGCCUAAAGAUCAACCUGAGUGUUUUCAUACACAUCUAUAAUCAUAGAUCUGGACAUCAUCAUAUCCAGCAAAAUUUCAACUUAGAAGAAUAUUUCUAAAAUAUUAGAACAACAAUUAUGGAUGGAAUUGUCUCCCUUCCACAAAGUCAUAUGUUGAAGCCUUAACCUAACCCCCAAUAUGACUGUAUUUGGGCCUUUAGGGAGGAAAGGUUAAAUUAGGUCAUGGGAUAGAGCCCUAAUCCAAUAGGACUAGUGGCCUUGUAGAAACAGGAAGAGAUUAUAACAGUCAUGAGAGCACCGAAGAAAGACCAGGUGAGGACACUGCAAGAAGGCCGCCACCUACAAGCCAAAGAGAGAAGUUGUGGGAGAACCAAACCUAUCACCACCUCGAUGAGAGGGAAGACAUAGAAAGAGUAAAUCCUUCCUUCCAUUACAGACUCCAGAAAUAACACUCGUGUGAUCCUGAAUGAGUCUCACCUGCUCUCAGUAAAAUAAAACACUUGGGCUAAGAGAACUCUGAUGUCUA
rnacentral:lncRNA from 1 species